CUCGUCGCCGGUCGGCAUGCCCGUCCGCGUCUUCCUCGGCGAGACGGAGUGGUGGGAGCCGAUCCUCUCGCUCGCGAUCCUCCUCGCGACGACGGCU
rnacentral:tRNA from 1 species